CCAGCUUGCUGGGGUGGAUGAGUGGCGAACGGGUGAGUAAUACGUGAGUAACCUGCCCUUGACUCUGGGAUAAGCCUGGGAAACCGGGUCUAAUACUGGAUACGACGUCCUACCGCAUGGUGGGGCGUGGAAAGGGUUUUACUGGUUUUGGAUGGGCUCACGGCCUAUCAGCUUGUUGGUGGGGUAAUGGCCUACCAAGGCGACGACGGGUAGCCGGCCUGAGAGGGUGACCGGCCACACUGGGACUGAGACACGGCCCAGACUCCUACGGGAGGCAGCAGUGGGGAAUAUUGCACAAUGGGCGGAAGCCUGAUGCAGCGACGCCGCGUGAGGGAUGACGGCCUUCGGGUUGUAAACCUCUUUCAGCAGGGAAGAAGCCACAAGUGACGGUACCUGCAGAAGAAGCGCCGGCUAACUACGUGCCAGCAGCCGCGGUAAUACGUAGGGCGCAAGCGUUGUCCGGAAUUAUUGGGCGUAAAGAGCUCGUAGGCGGUUUGUCGCGUCUGCUGUGAAAGCCCGGGGCUCAACCCCGGGUCUGCAGUGGGUACGGGCAGACUAGAGUGCAGUAGGGGAGACUGGAAUUCCUGGUGUAGCGGUGAAAUGCGCAGAUAUCAGGAGGAACACCGAUGGCGAAGGCAGGUCUCUGGGCUGUUACUGACGCUGAGGAGCGAAAGCAUGGGG
rnacentral:rRNA from 1 species